rnacentral:rRNA from 1 species
GGAAUAUUGCACAAUGGGCGCAAGCCUGAUGCAGCCAUGCCGCGUGUGUGAAGAAGGCCUUAGGGUUGUAAAGCACUUUCAGCGAGGAGGAAGGGUUCAGUGUUAAUAGCACUGUGCAUUGACGUUACUCGCAGAAGAAGCACCGGCUAACUCCGUGCCAGCAGCCGCGGUAAUACGGAGGGUGCAAGCGUUAAUCGGAAUUACUGGGCGUAAAGCGCACGCAGGCGGUUUGUUAAGUCUGAUGUGAAAUCCCCGAGCUUAACUUGGGAAAUGCAUUUGAAACUGGCAAGCUAGAGUCUUGUAGAGGGGGGUAGAAUUCCAGGUGUAGCGGUGAAAUGCGUAGAGAUCUGGAGGAAUACCGGUGGCGAAGGCGGCCCCCUGGACAAAGACUGACGCUCAGGUGCGAAAGCGUGGGGAGCAAACA